AGACCCGAAACCCGGUGAUCUAGCCAUGGGCAGGUUGAAGGUUGGGUAACACUAACUGGAGGACCGAACCGACUAAUGUUGAAAAAUUAGCGGAUGACCUGUGGCUGGGGGUGAAAGGCCAAUCAAACCGGGAGAUAGCUGGUUCUCCCCGAAAGCUAUUUAGGUAGCGCCUCGUGAAUUCAUCUCCGGGGGUAGAGCACUGUUUCGGCUAGGGGGCCAUCCCGGCUUACCAACCCGAUGCAAACUGCGAAUACCGGAGAAUGUUAUCACGGGAGACACACGGCGGGUGCUAACGUCCGUCGUGAAGAGGGAAACAACCCAGACCGCCAGCUAAGGUCCCAAAGUCAUGGUUAAGUGGGAAACGAUGUGGGAAGGCCCAGACAGCCAGGAUGUUGGCUUAGAAGCAGCCAUCAUUUAAAGAAAGCGUAAUAGCUCACUGGUCGAGUCGGCCUGCGCGGAAGAUGUAACGGGGCUAAACCAUGCACCGAAGCUGCGGCAGCGACACUCAGGUGUUGUUGGGUAGGGGAGCGUUCUGUAAGCCUGUGAAGGUGGCCUGUGAGGGUUGCUGGAGGUAUCAGAAGUGCGAAUGCUGACAUAAGUAACGAUAAAGCGGGUGAAAAGCCCGCUCGCCGGAAGACCAAGGGUUCCUGUCCAACGUUAAUCGGGGCAGGGUGAGUCGACCCCUAAGGCGAGGCCGAAAGGCGUAGUCGAUGGGAAACGGGUUAAUAUUCCCGUACUUGGUGUUACUGCGAAGGGGGGACGGAGAAGGCUAUGUUGGCCGGGCGACGGUUGUCCCGGUU
rnacentral:rRNA from 1 species